rnacentral:sRNA from 1 species
UAUAUCUGGUUAUGAAGAUGGUUCCCCGGUGAUAUGGAUCUCAACUGUGA